UACGUAGGUGGCGAGCGUUGUCCGGAAUUACUGGGUGUAAAGCGCGCGUAGGCGGGAGGCCAAGUCCGCUGUGAAAUCGCCCGGCUCAACUGGGCGCGGUCGGUGGAAACUGGUCACCUGGAGGACGGUAGAGGCGAGUGGAAUUCCCGGUGUAGUGGUGAAAUGCGUAGAGAUCGGGAGGAACACCAGUGGCGAAGGCGGCUCGCUGGGCCGGCCCUGACGCUGAGGCGCGAAGGCGUGGGGAGCGAACGGGG
rnacentral:rRNA from 1 species